rnacentral:sRNA from 1 species
AACGCUCCCGGUAAAGCGCUGGGGGAGGGAAGCGACGCCGGGGAGCUACGGUUUCCUCCGGAGGUCUCCGCCCCUCUGCCCCUAUAUUCCCAGAGCUCGAGUCUGAUCCGGGCCUUGCCGGGCACCCUGGAAAGGCGGGGGUGAUAGUACAGAUGGAGACGCAACUGCAGAGCAUUUUCGAAGAGGUGGUGAAAACGGAAGUUAUAGAAGAGGCUUUUCCUGGCAUGUUUAUGGAUACUCCUGAAGAUGAGAAAACAAAACUAAUUAGCUGUUUGGGGGCCUUCAGACAGUUUUGGGGUGGUCUUUCUCAGGUGAGCACUUCAUUUUUAAUACAUUCAGCUGAUGAUUUUUGGCCCCUUCUUUUUUUUUUUUUUUUUUUCUUUUAACAUUUACUUUGAUGUUGCUUAUAAGAUCUUCCUGAGAAUGGAGAAAUAAAAUUGUCAUCAUUUUUUAUUCUGGCUUCCAUUUGUUUUAAUUUGUAUAUUUCAGUGGAAAACCUAUGUAGAGAAGUCAAGUUGAUACUGCAGUGUGAGAUGUUAAAAAAAAAACCCAAAAAAAAAAACCUCCCCUAUGUUAGAUUAAUUAAGAUCAUUUUCAUCCUAUUCGGAUUUAUUUGGUACACUUGAAAACAGAUAUAUUAAGCUUUGCUUGUCAAGGAUACAAAUUCCAUUUUUUUGCUAAAUAAAGGAAUUGGCACAGCAUUGAUACAAAGAUGCUACAAUAGGAAUACCAAGAUUCUAUAAGGAUAAGAAAAU